rnacentral:rRNA from 1 species
UACAGAGGUCUCAAGCGGUGUUCGGAUUCAUUGGGCGUAAAGGGUGCGUAGGUGGUGGGGUAAGUCGGAUGUGAAAUCCCGGGGCUCAACCCCGGAACUGCAUUCGAUACUGCCUUGCUCGAGUACUGGAGAGGAGACUGGAAUUUACGGUGUAGCAGUGAAAUGCGUAGAUAUCGUAAGGAAGACCAGUGGCGAAGGCGAGUCUCUGGACAGUUACUGACACUGAGGCACGAAGGCCAGGGGAGCAAACGGG